rnacentral:rRNA from 1 species
AGCGAACGCUGGCGGCAGGCCUAAAACAUGCAAGUCGAACGCCGUAGCAAUACGGAGUGGCAGACGGGUGAGUAACACGUGGGAACAUACCCUUUGGUUCGGAACAACACAGGGAAACUUGUGCUAAUACCGGAUAAGCCCUUACGGGGAAAGAUUUAUCGCCGAAGGAUUGGCCCGCGUCUGAUUAGCUAGUUGGUGGGGUAACGCCCACCAAGGCUACGAUCAGUAGCUGGUCUGAGAGGANGAUCAGCCACACUGGGACUGAGACACGGCCCAGACUCCUACGGGAGGCAGCAGUUAGGAAUCUUGGACAAUGGGCGCAAGCCUGAUCCAGCCAUGCCGCGUGAGUGAUGAAGGCCUUAGGGUUGUAAAG